rnacentral:rRNA from 1 species
AGUGAACGCUGGCGGUAGGCCUAACACAUGCAAGUCGAACGGCAGCACAGGAGAGCUUGCUCUCUGGGUGGCGAGUGGCGGACGGGUGAGGAAUACAUCGGAAUCUACUCUGUCGUGGGGGAUAACGUAGGGAAACUUACGCUAAUACCGCAUACGACCUACCGGUGAAAGCAGGGGAUCUUCGGACCUUGCGCGAUUGAAUGAGCCGAUGUCGGAUUAGCUAGUUGGCGGGGUAAAGGCCCACCAAGGCGACGAUCCGUAGCUGGUCUGAGAGGAUGAUCAGUCACACUGGAACUGAGACACGGUCCAGACUCCUACGGGAGGCAGCGGUGGGGAAUAUUGGACAAUGGGCGCAAGCCUGAUCCAGCCAUACCGCGUGGGUGAAGAAGGCCUUCGGGUUGUAAAGCCCUUUUGUUGGGAAAGAAAUCCAGCUGGCUAAUACCCGGUUGGGAUGACGGUACCCAAAGAAUAAGCACCGGCUAACUUCGUGCCAGCAGCCGCCGUAA